rnacentral:rRNA from 1 species
CCCUUAGAUGUCCUGGGCCGCACGCGCGCUACACUGAGUGUCUGAGAUACGAGUCUGCCUGGUCCGGCAAGGUCUAGGUAAUCGCUAAAAGACACAUCAUGCUUGGGAUAGAUUAUUGCAAAUAUUAAUCUUGAACGAGGAAUUCCUAGUAAGCGCAAGUCAACAGCUUGCGUUGAUUACUUCCCUGCCCUUUGUACACACCGCCCGUCGCUACUACUGAUUGGAUGUUUAAGCGAGGUUCUCGAACUGCUAGCGACUUAGCUUCGGUGAGGUCGCAGUGUGGGAAGUGAACCUAGCUUUGGUGUCUAGAGGAAGUAAAAGUCGUAACA